GGGGAUGGAAAGCAUAUCAAAUUCUAGAAAGACACUUGGUCGACUUUCAACAAAUCAAUCAUUACUCAAAUAGAAUACCCGCUAAAUUUUGAGGAGGAGGACAUUACGGUUUCCAACUUUAUCAAAGAGGGUACAUGGGAUAUUGGUCCUUUACGCAAUGUUCUACCAAAAAACAUAACUAAUAAGAUUUAUGCAACCUUUAUUCCAGACAAGAUAGGAUUGAUAGAUAAACCUACUUGCUCCCUAGUCACAAAUGGUAAGUUCUUAACGUACAGUGCUUAUAAAUACCUCCUGGAUAAAGGUAAUGGGACUACUCAUUCUCCUGAGAAUUUCAAAUGGAUAUGAAAGUUAU
rnacentral:lncRNA from 1 species